GAUCCGUAACUUCGGGAAGAGGAUUGGCUCUAAGGGUUGGGUCGGGCUAAGACUUGAAGCCAGUGGACCCGGCCCGGACUGGCCGAGGCCCAUCCGGGUCGAAGCUGGACCCGGGAAGGGGCUGUUGGUGGAUUGGCCCACCUAUGGUCGCGAGGCCAAUUCGGCAGGCAAUGAACAACCAACUUAGAACUGGCAG
rnacentral:rRNA from 1 species